AACGAACGCUGGCGGCAUGCCUAACACAUGCAAGUCGAACGAGACCUUCGGGUCUAGUGGCGCACGGGUGCGUAACGCGUGGGAACCUGCCCUUAGGUUCGGCAUAACUCCCCGAAAGGGGUGCUAAUACCGGAUAAUGUCUUCGGACCAAAGAUUUAUCGCCUUUGGAUGGGCCCGCGUUGGAUUAGCUAGUUGGUAGGGGAAAAGCCUACCAAGGCGACGAUCCAUAGCUGGUCUGAGAGGAUGAUCAGCCACACUGGGACUGAGACACGGCCCAGACUCCUACGGGAGGCAGCAGUGGGGAAUAUUGGACAAUGGGCGAAAGCCUGAUCCAGCAAUGCCGCGUGAGUGAUGAAGGCCUUAGGGUUGUAAAGCUCUUUUACCCGGGAUGAUAAUGACAGUACCGGGAGAAUAAGCGCCGGCUAACUCCGUG
rnacentral:rRNA from 1 species